ACUGAUUGAACGUGCUUGCACGGACUUGACGUUGGUUUACCAGCGAGUGGCGGACGGGUGAGUAACACGUAGGUAACCUGCCCCAAAGCGGGGGAUAACAUUUGGAAACAGAUGCUAAUACCGCAUAACAAUUUGAAUCGCAUGAUUCAAAUUUAAAAGAUGGCUUCGGCUAUCACUUUGGGAUGGACCUGCGGCGCAUUAGCUUGUUGGUAGGGUAACGGCCUACCAAGGCUGUGAUGCGUAGCCGAGUUGAGAGACUGAUCGGCCACAAUGGAACUGAGACACGGUCCAUACUCCUACGGGAGGCAGCAGUAGGGAAUCUUCCACAAUGGGCGCAAGCCUGAUGGAGCAACACCGCGUGAGUGAAGAAGGGUUUCGGCUCGUAAAGCUCUGUUGUUAGAGAAGAACGUGCGUGAGAGCAACUGUUCACGCAGUGACGGUAUCUAACCAGAAAGUCACGGCUAACUACGUGCCAGCAGCCGCGGUAAUACGUAGGUGGCAAGCGUUAUCCGGAUUUAUUGGGCGUAAAGCGAGCGCAGGCGGUUUGAUAAGUCUGAUGUGAAAGCCUUUGGCUUAACCAAAGAAGUGCAUCGGAAACUGUCAGACUUGAGUGCAGAAGAGGACAGUGGAACUCCAUGGGUUAUAACCGGG
rnacentral:rRNA from 1 species